rnacentral:rRNA from 1 species
UACGUAGGGUGCGAGCGUUGUCCGGAAUUAUUGGGCGUAAAGAGCUCGUAGGCGGCCUGUCGCGUCGGAUGUGAAAGCCCGGGGCUUAACCCCGGGUCGGCAUUCGAUACGGGCAGGCUGGAGUUCGGCAGGGGAGAUCGGAAUUCCUGGUGUAGCGGUGAAAUGCGCAGAUAUCAGGAGGAACACCGGUGGCGAAGGCGGAUCUCUGGGCCGAUACUGACGCUGAGGAGCGAAAGCGUGGGGAGCGAAC